UGUAGGAGUGAGCCUGCUCGCGAUGAGGCCAUAUCAGUCACCAUUUUUUUGACUGGAAGACCGCUAUCGCGAGCAGGCUCGCUCCCACA
rnacentral:antisense_RNA from 2 species